rnacentral:rRNA from 1 species
UACGUAGGGGGCGAGCGUUGUCCGGAUUUAUUGGGCGUAAAGAGCGUGUAGGCGGCCAGGUAGGUCUGCUGUGAAAACUCGAGGCUCAACCUCGAGACGUCGGCGGAAACCAUCUGGCUAGAGUCCGGAAGAGGAGAGUGGAAUUCCCAGUGUAGCGGUGAAAUGCGUAGAUAUCGUAAGGAAGACCAGUGGCGAAGGCGAGUCUCUGGACAGUUACUGACACUGAGGCACGAAGGCCAGGGGAGCAAACGGG